rnacentral:rRNA from 1 species
AGUGAACGCUGGCGGUAGGCCUAACACAUGCAAGUCGAACGGCAGCACAGUAAGAGCUUGCUCUUACGGGUGGCGAGUGGCGGACGGGUGAGGAAUACAUCGGAAUCUACUUUUUCGUGGGGGAUAACGUAGGGAAACUUACGCUAAUACCGCAUACGACCUACGGGUGAAAGCAGGGGAUCUUCGGACCUUGCGCGAUUGAAUGAGCCGAUGUCGGAUUAGCUAGUUGGCGGGGUAAAGGCCUACCAAGGCGACGAUCCGUAGCUGGUCUGAGCGGAUGAUCAGCCACACUGGAACUGAGACACGGUCCAGACUCCUACGGGAGGCAGCAGUGGGGAAUAUUGGACGAUGGGCGCAAGCCUGAUCCAGCCAUACCGCGUGGGUGAAGAAGGCCUUCGGGUUGUAAAGCCCUUUUGUUGGGAAAGAAAAGCAGCAGGUUAAUACCCCGCUGUUAUGACGGUACCCAAAGAAUAAGCACCGGCUAACUUCGUG